AACUUUUUUUUUUUUUUAGAUGUUUGUGUCUCUUUGUCACUGUCAUUACCCUGGGAUAAGUCUGCAGAAAUAAAGACUUCUUGCAGAAUGGCAUGAAUUAUUUCUCACCAGAGAGAUCUGAAUGCUAAUGUCACUCUUAAGAAGACUUAAGACCUUAGGGGAGACAUAAGAAGGAACUUCACCACUACAGGAGAACCCCUGGUGCUUUAGCCAGGCAUUGCCAAUGGCUGGAAGGUUCCAUGGAUAGGUUCCCUGAUGUCCCCACCCUCAUUAUAUCUGGAAUGAAUAAAGAGGGGAAGGACAAAGAGACAUCCACGGGCAUCAAAGGCAUCUCCAAGGGACAAAAGAAAGAGAAGAGCCAGCUGUUUAUUUCUGGAUUCCCGAGUUGUUUGUUAUCAGCUUCUCUCAGCUGUGCAGUGCCCCUGGGAAUGGAAGUUGUGAGAUGGACUCACUGAGGGUGGAACUAUGAGGGCCAAUGGAGGACGAGCACUGGCUACCACUCUACUUUCCUGGCAUGAUGCCCACAAAAGGCCUUCUGCUGUGUCACCAGCACUCCAGGCCUGCUGACUGCACGGUGACCAGGAUCAUCACUACAGUGAGCUCAAAGGUUUCAGCAUCACACCAACACUCCUGUCUGCCGUCCUCAGCAGUGAAGCUGGCGUCUGGACUCUGCUGGGGAAAAUUGAUUUCGAUUUCCUCUUGUUCUUGUGGGGCUUGGCUGAUGUGACAGGAAGCCGAAACCUAAUAAAGACAGCACUGGAGCUUCUGGGCCCUGA